rnacentral:rRNA from 1 species
AGAGUUUGAUCAUGGCUCAGGAUGAAUGUUGCGGCAGGCUUAAUACAUGCAGGUCGAGGGGUAACAUGGGUAGCAAUACCUGAUGACGACCGGCAAACGGGUGCGGAACAUGUACGCAACCUUCCCAAAACUGGUGAAUAGCCCUCCGAAAGGAGGAUUAAUACACCGUAAGAUAAUGAAGAGGCAUCUCUUUAUUAUUAUAGCUCCGGCGGUUUUGGAUGGGCGUGCACCUGAUUAGGUAGUUGGUGAGGUAACGGCUCACCAAGCCUGCGAUCAGUAACUGGUGUGAGAGCACGACCAGUCACACGGGCACUGAGACACGGGCCCGACUCCUACGGGAGGCAGCAGUAAGGAAUAUUGGUCAAUGGACGAAAGUCUGAACCAGCCAUGCCGCGUGAAGGAUGACGGCCCUCUGGGUUGUAAACUUCUUUUAUAUGGGACGAAAAAAGGGAAUUCUUUCUCACUUGACGGUACCAUAGGAAUAAGCACCGGCUAACUCCGUGCCAGCAGCCGCGGUAAUACGGAGGGUGCAAGCGUUAUCCGGAUUCACUGGGUUUAAAGGGUGCGUAGGUGGGUAGGUAAGUCAGUGGUGAAAUCUCCGAGCUUAACUCGGAAACUGCCAUUGAUACUAUUUAUCUUGAAUAUUUUGGAGGUGAGCGGAAUAUGUCAUGUAGCGGUGAAAUGCUUA